GCUUUAGUCAAAAUACAAUAAAAGCAAGAACUAAAAACUAAAAUUAUGUGGGCAGAACUAAUGGUCUUAUAGGCUCUGCACACUGAACCCAUCCCGGGGGAAUGGUGGGAUUUUUUGACAGAUGUGAAACUCCGAUUCACACUGCCACCAUCCACCAUCCGUCAAAAACAGCUGAUGCCAAUAGCAAGUUCAUUAAAUUUGCGCGGAAGAUUUAUUAGUUCUUGGUUCUUAUAAUGGAUGAUGAAGAUAUAGCAAUUAUUUCGGCUGUGGUUCAACAGCAAAAUAUUUUCUUGCACCAACUAAUAAUGUUGCUGUCAAUGAAUAAUGAUGAUGACGAUGAUGACUUUAACAUUGACGAGGAUGAGAUGACCCAGAUGACUGCCAUAAAAACACAAAAGCCAGGAAGAUUAUGGUCGUUUGAAAAUUCCUAAAUUCCUUUGGAAAAGCGCAUCGCCAUUGCGCUAUACACUUUGGGCUCGUCCUCUGAGUACCGAACAGUUGGCAGGCUUUUCGGUGUAGCUCCAAACAUUGUGUGUAGUAUCCUGCACGAGUUUUGCAGAGCACUUAUCGACGAGUUUUCGAAGGAGUACACGUCGCCCAAUUACCUAACUUCCGACAAAAUUGAUGAGUGCGUAAAGGGAUUCGAGGCAAUUGGGUUUCCUCAGUGCCUAGGUGCAAUUGAUGGAUGCCACAUCGAAAUAAAACCACCAGCACCUGAGGCAGUAGACCACCAUAACUAUAAGGGCUGGUAUUCCACAGUCUUGUUUGCCCUAGUGGAUUAUAGAUACAGAUUUACAUAUGUAAAUAUCGGCUCUGCAGGAAGGUGCAAUGACUCGAUGAUAUACCAGAAGUCAAGCCGUGCAAAACAUAUCGAAGCAUCGGCAUUACUCCAAGAGAAAGCCAAGGAAAUAAGCGGAGUAAACGUCCCUGUAAUGCUUAUCGGGGACUCGGCAUUUAGGUUUUCUAAAAAGCUGAUGAAACCUUACCCGUUUUCCACAGUCGCCUCUUUGGAACAGCGCACGUUUAACUACAACCUUUCCAAAGCUAGGCGAGUGGUGGAAAAUGCAUUUGGGCAUUUAAAAGCCAGUUUUCGAAUAAUCGGAAAAGGUCUUGAUAGCCACCACAAAAAUAAUAGCGCCAUAAUAAUGAGCUGUUGUAUUUUACACAAUAUAUUAAAUAAGCACAACAGCGCGAUUAAUGAAAAUUGGGAGCUUGCAACAAAUGAGCAGCGCGAACAGCCCGAUACCAGCGACAGUUCUGCUGACUUUAAUCAGUCAGCAGAACAGAUACGAUCUGCAAUCGCAAAAUAUUGUGUAGACCGUAAUGAAAAUUAAAAACUUAUUUAUUUUUAUUUUUUAAAACUUCUAAUAAGUCGUUCUGGAAUUUUGUUUGGGUGCUGAUCAAGUCCUGCACCAUCUUUUCCUGCCUAACGUCGUGCUCCUCCUUCUUUCUGUGGUGGUCCUUUUGUUGUUCGAGACGCUCCUGGGCGAUCUCUGCCAGCCACGAAAUGUCGGUCUUUUUCUUUUUCUUUGGCGGACGCCCAGACAAGGUGCUGGAGCUACAAGAUCCGUCCAGG